AUGGCCACCAUCCGCUCUAGCAAGCCCCGCCACCGCUCCGAGGCCUCCGCCCCCGCCACCUCCGUGGCCGUCGCCGCGGCGAGGGCGCAGGACGCUCCCAAGCCCCCGCUCAGGCGGUCCGCGGCCUUCCAGCCGCGCCGCUCGCACAGCCACCCGCAACCGCAUGCGCACGGCCACCAGCGCUGCGACAGCGAGCAUGUCAGCCGCAGCGGCAGGCAGCCCCGCUGCGGCGAGGUGGCCGGCGGCACGGCGGCCGGGUGCGCCGCCGUAUGCUGCUGCUUCCCGUGCGUCAUGGUGGAGGUCGUCGUGCUCGCCACGGUCCGCGCGCCAGCCGCGCUCUGCCGGCGCGCGGUCCGGGCGCGCCGGCGCCGCCGCUCGGCCUCGGCGGGGCAGCCGGUGGACAUGUACGAGCUGCUCGUCGACGACGGCACCGUGGCCGGUCCCGGCGACGCGGCGGUGGUCUGGCCCGCGGGUCAGCCGCCGGAGGAGGAGGCGGGGGAAAUGGAGAACGAGGUGUGGUCGAGGUUCUACGGCGCCGGCUUCUGGAGGAGCCCCUCGUCGCUCGGCGACGAGAACAGAUGA
rnacentral:rRNA from 1 species